AGAUUGAACGCUGGCGGCACGCUUAACACAUGCAAGUCGAGCGGUUUGAUAUCUAGCUUGCUAGAUAUCGGAUAGCGGCGGACGGGUGAGUAACGCGUAGGAAUCUGCCUUAGAGCGGGGGAUAACACGGGGAAACUCGUGCUAAUACCGCAUAAUACCUGAGGGUUAAAGAGGG
rnacentral:rRNA from 1 species